rnacentral:lncRNA from 1 species
GAAAGUAGGUCUCAACCUUUAAUUUGUAGCAAGUGGAUCUCCAACUUUUCAGUUUUGUAGCAACUGGGUCAUAGUGGAUGACUUCCAUCCCUCUGACCAUUAAAAGGUCAAUUUUUAUUAAAAAGACCAUUAUACUCCUAUUUUCAAUUCAUAAAAAAAAAGAAAAAAAGAAAAAAGAGAAAAACAUGAAAAUGAAACAAAAACUUUGUGCAAAAAUAGGAGAAAGUCAGGGGGCAGCAGCGAUGGCUGGCAAAGAGGACUGAAUGGGAACAAGUAGGAAAUGGCACGUGGAUGGGAGGAGGAUCCUUUGAUGGUUCAGAAUGAAGAGAAGAAAGUCUAAUCAUGGUCUCAUGCAAUUGAAAUGUUGUUUGAAGAAACAGUGAUGUAGCAUUACACAAGUAGAAGCAGUCACAUAGAAGGUGAGGAGGUGAGAAGUAGAAACUAGGAAAAAGAAAGAGGAAGAAGGAGAGGAGAAGGAGAGAAGAAGAGGGCGGUGGAAAAGUCUGCAACACUCAACGUUCAAUUCAUUCCCAUCAAUCUGUCCCAUGCAAAGGCUGUCUACAUAUAUAUAAUAGACAACACAAAAGAAAAAGGGCUUGGAUCAGCCCAAAACAUUAUACAAGCCCAAAGCAAAAUAAAAAAGCUUGGGCCAAUACCAAAAUAUACUACAAGCUCAAGGUAAAAUACUAAGCUAGUCCAAUGCUAAGUGAAUGUUCUCAUCAACUCUCCCGGGGUGGGAGAAAACUUGACUUUGUCGAGUGAAUAACUCAUAAAAGGUUGCAGUCAGUCACCCAACCAUAAGUUGAGUGGUUGGACAAACCUCUUCUGACGUCCAUAUAUACGUGUGAUUGGUGGUCUGGGCAAUGGAAGAUUAUGCUGACUCUUAUAAAGUUUCAACAAGUCGGCUCUAGCUGUUGGAAUCUCUCUAGGGAUAUAUGUCAGAGUCAGGUCAGCCUACCCAACGAACAAAAAAGCGCUAAAUUUCUCUAUCAUUGGUCAACAUAAUCUGUUAAUCUAAAAUAGCAUCAAUCUUAUCUUUGGGUAUUGUGACAGGGGGUGUUGAAGUAGGGAUAGCAAUAGGUUCAAAUUGAGGGUCAACAGAUGGGGGUAGAAAAGGGUCAUCAGAGGGCUUAAAAUGACCUUUAUAAGGAACUAAAUCCUUAACAUUGAAAGUAGAAUGGUAGCCAAAAUGUGAUGGAAGAUCAAUGACAUAAGCAUUUGGACCAACACGCAUUAAGAUUUUAAAAGGACUAGUGCUACGGGCUUGCAAUUUGGAAGCGGAUCCAGAUGGACGCCGUUUCGGUCUAAUUCGGAUCAUCACAUAAUCCCCAAUAUUAAAUUCAACAUGUCGUUUAUGCAAAUCUGCUCGAAGUUUAUAUGAUGCAUUACUUGCCUCUAGUUGUUUAUUGGUUUUAAUAUGUAAGUCAUAAAGAUAUUGUACAAAUACCUCAGCUGACACGGACACAUUAGCAUGUGGGGACAUAGGGAUAAGGUCUAAAGGCUUCUUGGGUUUGUAACCAUGAACAACUUCAAAAGGACUCAUGCCUAAAGACUUAUUCACAGAACUGUUAUAUGCAAUUUGGGCUAUAGAGAGGAUUAAAUCCUAGUUCUUAAGAUUUUCCUGAACUAGAUACCUUAAUAGAUUACCAAAACUGCGAUUAACAACUUCAGCUUGACCAUCAAUCUGAGGAUGAUAUGCACUGGAGAAUUUCAACUUAGUGUCAACCAUGUGCCAUAAGGUUUUCCAGAAGUGACAAGUGAACCGAACAUCCCUAUUCGACACAAUGGUCUUAGGAAGGCUAUACAACUUAACAAUCUCAUUAAAGUAUAGUCUGGCAGCCUUAGACGCAUCUGAAGUUUUGCUGCAAGGGAUAAAGUGGGUCAUUUUCAAGAAAUGAUCCACUAUAACAAAAAUAGAGUCAUAUUUCUUUGGAGUACGUAGGAAUCCUAAUACAAAAUCUAUACUGACAUCUUGUCAAGGACAACUAGGGAUGGAAAGAGGUGUGUAAAGACUAGUGUUUUGUCUAUUUUGUUUGGCCAACUGACGUGUUACAGGCACUAACUAUCUUAGCUAACUUUGUCUUCAAACGAGGCCAAUAAAAUUGACGUUCAACCUCUUCGAUUGUCUUAUCACGUCCAAAAUGUCCAGCCAAGCCUCCGGCAUGACUUUCUUAAACUAUAAAGUCUCGUACUGAAGUUCGAGGGAUACACAACUUAUUGAACCUAAAAAGAUAACCAUCCUCUAGACAAAAACCAUCAGUAGCAUCCAAUUGCCAACUUUGCAACGCAAGGAAAAUGUCCUUGAAAUCGAGACAUGACUCAUAAUCUUCUUUGAGUCGUUCAAAACUUAUGACCUUGACACUCAUACUGGUUAAAAGGGAAAUGCAGCAGCUUAAAACAUCCAUCGCUUGAUUUUCACUGCGUUUCUUAUGCUUCAAAACAAAAGAAUAGGCCUGCAAGUACUCGAUCCAACGACCAUGCCUAGCAUUUAACCUCUUUAAGGAAUUAAGGUAGCAAAGUGCCUCAUGGUUCGAAUAAAUGACAAAUUCUUGGGGUAACAAGUAAUGACGCCAAUAGCGCAAAGCUUGUACGACUGCAUACAAUUCCUUGUCAUAAGUCGAGUACUGUAGUUUGACAUCAUUUAGCUUCUCAUUGAAAUAAGCAAUAGGCUGACGUUCUUGGCUCAAAACUCCACCUAUCCCUACCUGGAGGCAUCACAUUCUACCUCAAAAACUUUGGGAAAGUUAGGAAGUCGCAUGACUGGAGCUUCUGUCAUUCGCCUCUUAACCAACUUAAAUUCUUUGGCCGCUUCAUGCAAUUAAUAAAAUUCUCCUCUUUUCAUGCACUCUGUAAUAGGAGCCAUGAUCGUGCUAAACCCUUUAAUAAAACAACGAUAAAAGGUAGCUAAACCAUAAAAACUCCUAACAUCAUGUAUAGUCUUGGGCUCAGUCGAGUACCGUAGUUUGACAUCAUUUAGCUUCUCAUUGAAAUAAGCAAUAGGCUGACGUUCUUGGCUCAAAACUCCACCUAUCCCUACCUGGAGGCAUCACAUUCUACCUCAAAAACUUUGGGAAAGUUAGGAAGUCGCAUGACUGGAGUUUCUGUCAUUCGCAUCUUAACCAACUUAAAUUCUUUGACCGCUUCAUGCGAUUAAUAAAAUUCUCCUCUUUUCAUGCACUCUGUAAUAGGAGCCAUGAUCGUGCUAAACCCUUUAAUAAAACAACGAUAAAAGGUAGCUAAACCAUGAAAACUCCUAACAUCAUGUAUAGUCUUGGGCUCAGCCAACCAAUAAUUGGCCUGAAUCUUUAUAGGGUCAGCAGACACUCCUGUCGUAGAGAUAAUGAAGCCUAAGAAGACAACUUUAUCUGUGAAGAAAGAACAUUUCUUCACAUUGGCAUACAGACUUGUAGCACGAAGGGUAGAAUAAACCUGCGUGAGAUGAUCUUGAUGUUGUUCCCAAGUUUACUGUACACUGAGAUGUCAUCAAAAUAGAAAACGAGGAAUUUAUCCAUGAAUGAUCGCGAAGCUCGUGUCAUCACUCUUAUAAAAGUACUCGGGGCAUUGGUUAGUCCAAAAUGCAUGACCAAUCACUCAUAAAGACUAUCCUUCGUUUUAAAGGCAGUCUUCCAUUCGUCACCGGGGCGAAUCUUAAUUUGGUGGUACUCACUCUUUAAAUCAAUCUUAGAAAAUAUUGUGGCACCAACCAUCAUAUCCAACAUAUCAUCAAGCCUAGGGAUUGGAAAACGGUAUUUUAUUGUGAUCUUAUUGAUGACGCGACUAUCAACACGCAUCCUCCAAUAAUCAUCUUUCUUAGGAGUCAAAAGGGCGGGAACCGCACAAGGACUUAGACUCUCACGAAUAAAUCCUUUGUAAAAGAGCUCCUCCUCUACUUGCCUCUGGAGCUCAGCAUACUUAAUAGGAUUCAUUCUAUAAUGAGGUAAAUUUGGAAGAGACGAUCCAGGGAUAAGAUUUAUAGCAUAUUGAAUAUCCUGUAAAUGAGGCAAUAGAUUGGGAGGCCUUCAGGAAAGACAUUUGAAACUCUUGAAGAAUUGACUGAACCUCAUCAGGGGUCAAUAUUGGAGAUUCCGAUGGAACUUCCAUGACGACCACGACAACAGAAUUCUCUUUUGAGUGUACGCUCAAAUUCUAUAGGGCUAGUCAUAUGUAACCCUUUCUGCUCCACAAUUUUCUUGUUCUGCUGUGAAUCAACAAGCUUUGGCGGUAAAGGAUUAAGGUGAAUCUUCUUCCCAUUAAACACAAAGGAACGGGAGUUUGACCGACCAUGGUUAGUUACAUCCAAAUCGAACAACCAGGGUCGACCAAGAAUGACGUAUUCGACAUCCAUGGGAAUGACGUCACACCAUAUAUGAUCUUUAUACAUAAGAAACUGGAUAGGUACCAAACAGCGCUCAUUUACGGCAAUAGAAGAAGUGUCAACCUAAGAGACGCUAUAAGGUUAAGGGUGUAGGAUGGGCUGUAAUUCAAGAUGGGACACAGUAUCCAUAGAAAUUGCAUUAAUGCAGCUACCACUAUACACAAUAAUUUUACAUCUAUUAUUCAUCUUGAUAUAAGUGUGAAAAAUGGCGUGACGACGCCAGUCAUCGGCAUCUUUAGGGUGAGUGAGGGUACAGCGUACAACACUUAGCUGCGAGGUGUCAGGGACAAGGGUCACAUAACCUAGAUCUACAGGGAAGGUUCGGAUGCAACCUAACAAGCUAUCCUCAAUAUCAUCCAAAUCGUCAAAUUCUUCAAACUUAGGUUCAUAGACUUGAUCUUCUAAUGGCUCACCUUCUACAUCUUUUCGUUCCUCAAUGACUAAAGCUCGAUUAGGACAUCUAGAUGCGAUAUGGCCAAAGCCUUCACAAUUGAAGCGCUGCAGGCGGGAAGAAGUUUUUGGAAUUUCAAAAGCUUUACCCUCAUUUUCCAACACAAGGGGACAUUAUAUGGGGGAGGCCCUAGGAGGGACUUAACAGGCGGAGGUGGCACAGAUGAGACGGAAGGACGAUUGUCAGCACGCCUUCCAUAUGAAGUUUUAGUGACCAACUCAUAAUUUUGGACUACAGAAUAAGCAUGAUCAAGAGUAGUGACACCUCGAAGGAUACGCUUACGCCUAAGAUCAUCUUUUAUGUCCUGUCUAAACCUACUCCAAGUCAUUGCCUUAUCUUCAACUACGUGUUAUCGCAUUCGAAAUUCAUCAAAUUGAGUAACAUAUUCAGUCACUCGUCGAUGUCCUUGUGUAAGGGUAUUCCAUUGGUCUAACAAGUUGCCCCUGUAAGAUUGAGGCAAGUACUUCUCUUAAAGGCGAUGUUUCAUUUUCUCCCAACUUCCAAUUGAAGGUGCAUGACGCUUCUCAAGGAGAUCCUCAAUACUUUCCCAGAAGAGUUGGGCGGUGCCAGUUAAUUUCAGACUGGCAAAUUGGACACGUUGAUCCUCUGGGACUCCAUACCAUACCAAGAAACGAUCCAUGUCUCUAAUCCAUUGAGCAAAAACUCUAGGAUCUAAGCAAUCAUCGAAAGUAGGAGCGUCUAACUUUAUGUUUUUAAAGUAACGCUCGUCAUGGCGUGGAGGAGAAUGAUUAUCGCGACGGCCAUGGCCUUGUUCUCACUUACAGUCCUGAUCCCCAUUCCUUUGAUCAUGUCGAGGGUGUUGUCGACUACUUUGUCGACGAUAAUAGUGUACAUUAUGGGACGCUUCAGAGUUAUCAACGUCAGUCGAACGAGGGGUUUGUUCAAAAUUGUCCAACCUGGCAGCUAGGUCUUUACUCUUUUCACGAGUAGCAGCCAUCUCGAUGGACAAUCGCUAUUUGAGUCUGUAAAUGUUGCUGGCUUGUGACAAGUUGAGCUAAUUGUCUAGUGAGUGCAUCAAAUUGUGAGGGGUCCAUGGUGAAUGUAAUAGAACUAGGGGUGACGAGACGACCACCACGCAACUACAUGCAAUGUAAUACCAACUAAAUGAUUUGCGAUGGAGACAUCAAUGAACAACAAGUGCAAGUAACGAAAAAUAGCAACUUGAAUAUUUAAAUUAAAGGUUUGAGAUUAAGUAAAUCCAAAUAUGGCAAGCUAAUAUUGUUGAUAUACGUAAAAUAACAAAGCGAUGGUCAAAUUACUAGCCAAAAUCUAAUCACGUAAAAUAAGUGGAAUAAAAGUGAGGUUUAGCAAGGGUUCAAUCACGUGAUUUUAGGUAAAGUAAUUAGAAUAAUAGCAACAUAGAAAAUUAAUUGAUGCGAUUUUAAAUUAACAGUAAUAUAAAUCAAAUCUAGAUAAUAACAGUAACUUCCCUUUUUGUUCGCUGAAGUAAUUGAAUCUAUCAACAGGACAAGAAGAGGUACCUGCAAAACGAUAUUAAAAAAUACAAAUUUAUUAUUAUUAUUAUUUUUUUUAAAUUUUAAAAUCAAACUAAAUUACAUAAAAACAAAUAGGGCAAUAAAUGAGCCCAAAUCACAAAACUAAGCCCAAUUACAAUUAAAUCCCCAGCCACACAAGCACAAGCCUAGAAUAUUUACUAAGCCACAGCCCAAUUAAAAUCAACUGCCCACUGUUAUCUUAGCCUAGUCGUUUUUCCCCACUCUAUCUAUGCGGUCUGUAUGAGAAUUGGAUUUAAGUGGAGGUGAUUACGAGCAGCGCUACUCGGAGAAGGCACUGGCUCGCCUUUUGUGUUGGUCUGACGACGUGGUGGAUUGGGUAGAUGAAGGACGGUGGUUGCAGUGAGUGAGGAUACUGUGGUGGCUGUGCUAGGAGGAUGACUGGUGGUCGGCGUUCAUGGGUUUCGUGAGCGAAGGAGGCGGUUGCGGGGUGGGUGCUCCGAGUUGUCGCGAGUGGGUCGAGCUCAGAAAGGCAAUCGGUCAAUUUUUGGGUUGCUGUAAUUUCGGGUGGGGAGUUGAGAGGAAUUGUUGGUAGCUGUUGACGGUAGCCGGAGGAGACAGUGUUGGGUGUAAUUGGCUAAGUGUAUAUGGGUUAGAUGUUUGUGUGCGGUUUGGAGAGAGGAUGGAUGGGUUACCUUCUGGGUAGGGCUUUAUGGUGAUGAACAGCAAGCUGAAGGCAGGAAUUUGACUGAACUUUUCAUCACUUCCAUGGCAAUUCUGUGACUCCAAUUUUCAGUUAAAGAUGUUGAAACCAAGUUUAGCUCUGAUACCAAGUUGAUGUAGCAUUACACAAG